GAGGGUGUAGCUCAGUGGUAGAGUGCCUGCCUAGCAUGCACGAGGGCUUGGCUUUGAUCCCCAGUGCCUCCA
rnacentral:tRNA from 1 species